UUAUAACUCUAAAAUGCGGCUGGUGAUUUGGUAAUUAUACUACUUAAAGGAACUCAAAAAAGUAAAGUGAAGUGUCAAGCAUUUUUAACUUUUGAUUAGAAAAGUUACCAACAAUUGUUUAUCUCUAGCAGCAUUUUCUCUGAAUCUGCAAGCUUAUGAGUUAAAGUAAAUCAAUCCUCGUAAACGUUUCCUGACUAAAACUAUGUUUUUGGUGAACCAACCUUGGGAGAAGGACUUCGGUGUACACUAACAUCUUGUCUGCGAGGAUCUUCUAUAAUUAGUCCCCACACGUCCUUACCUGUCUUUAAGACCGCGUCCUCUCUUGCUGUUGUGUAAGCCUCUCCAAUUGUCUCAUUAAUUUCACAAUGUGUCUGACUGUGAGGAUGAACGUGACCAUGACGUUCAGUCUGACGGUUAGGGACAUUUUGAAAGUGAUGAGACAAAUGAAGAGGUGUACACAACGGCAAAAGAGGAUGCGAGACAUAAGUACAAUUUCGACAACCAGAGUCUUUGCUGUUUUGCGAAGCCAAGCACAGAUCCCCAACAACGGGGUCAAUAUCAUUACUUUGAUAGUCCCCAAAGUUUGUCCACGUGUA